GUGCUUGCUUUGGCAGCACAUAUACUAAAAUUGAAAUGAUACACAGAAGAUUAGCAUGGCCCCUGUGGAAGGUUGACACGCAAAUUCGUGAAGUAUUCCAUAUUUUU
rnacentral:snRNA from 1 species